GGGGCCCCCCCCCGAGGGGAGGCCGCGGCUUUAUUUGGCUCCACACGGGAAAACUCCCCCGGCCCGGACACUGGGAGGGUUGACCGAUUGGGCGCUCUUUCCUGGCUCAGUGGGGGGGGGGGCCUGGCCCUUCCUAGCUGGGGGGAGGGGUGUGUCCGGUUUAUUCCCAACCAAUAACCAGACUCCCACCUACCAAAAGAAUGGGGGGGCUUCCCCCCGCCCGCGCUUCUUCCUUGAUGGGGCGGGGUGGCGGUGCCCCCCCCCCAAACCCAGCAAUACCCGGUCUAUGCUGGCCUUUGAAGGUCCGGGCCCGCCCCCCCCCUCCACGGAGGGUCAGGGUGCCCCCCCCGCCCCCCCCUCCACGAGGGGAAACCCGAAUAACCCUCCUCCUGGUUUGGGGUGGGGGUUUGAAAUUUUUUUCUUUACCCCGGGGCCCCCCCCGAAGGGAAGUUUGAAAAAACUAAGAACUUGACCCGGGGGUCCCCCUGUGGUAAAUUUUGGGGGGCUUCCGGAGAUGUA
rnacentral:rRNA from 1 species